CCUGCCCUUGUCUGCACAUUCUGCUGAGGAUGGCUAGCUAGCUCUGUAUCACUAAUACAGGCAACUACAGGCAGAGAGGUCUGAAUCAAGUUUUCCAGGCCUCACCAGUUAGAAAUGACUCAUACAAACCCUGGAUCAGAGCGCUGGGAUUGCUCUGCUCGUUGCUGAUAAGCAGCUGAUUCCCUGCAUACAAUUUCACAUUCAAAGCAAGGGGACUGGAAACCUUUCCUGCCAGCCCUGCUCCGGCAGGCUCACAGAGCAGUGCGUGACUUGCUGUGCUACCCACAAGCAAUGGCUCUCCUGAAAAAAAGCCUGGCCCCACAGAGCUGGCAUCAAGCAAACCACAGUCCUUUCCUGUGCUGUGCAGAUUCCACCACACAAUAUAAAUCUGGAGAAAGAAUUGCAGAAUAACACAUAUUCCAUAAUUAGAAAGUACUUGGCAAAGACACCAUGGGAAACAAACCACCCUAAACAGGCCAGGAAUUUGAGUCUCCUUCUUGCAGGUCAGAGGAAAGUCUAUUGCAAAAAACAGACAUUUCUUCAACCCACCACAUGUGUCCUGCUGUCUGCACGGCACUGAUAGAAACCUGACUGUCAUGCCUUGCAUUUCCAAGAUGCCCUAUAGCAGAACCUGAGGGUUCUGAAGGACAUCUGGCUUUCACCAGCUUUCUACCCCCUUUUUGCUUACAUUGAUGCAAUUCAUCCUCCGGCGUACAGAGAGCAGCGAGAUGUUCCCCAAACAAGAAGUUUGCAACAGAAACCUGGACACAGGAUAUUGAACCCAGGGGAUGCAACAUUCUUUGUCACUUACGAAGCUACAGACCUAUGAAGGUUUAAUAGAAAACCCCUUGUACUCACUGCAAAGGUGUUUCAAGACUGCAGAAUUCCUUCACCUUAUGGAGAACUUCAUGACAUCACCUUCUCUGAGUGCUCAGAUUCGGAGUGAAUGUGUUAGCACAGCAAUAGACAAAAGCUUAGGAGUAUGAUAGGUGUGGCCAAAAGGGUUCAAAAACCCAAAGGACAAAGAAUAUUUAAAUUAUUAUUUUGGAUUCUAAUUUAUGCUUUGUAAUGCCUAAAACUGUCAAUACUGGUUUUGUUUGUUUCAAGGAAGCUUCAGCAGUGAGAACACUAAACUUCCCUUCUUCCCAAGCUCAGUCUUUCACAAAUAAACAAGAACAAUACAAAAAGCUGGAACGUUACAGAAAAUGAAGAUGCUCCCCUUGGACUCCUAUGCUUUCUCUGGAGGUGCUGUUCACUACUUUGACACGACUGACGACAGAUGUGUCUGAAAAACAGCAGAUUAAAAGCACCUACACAGCACUCACAUUUAGUUAUGGCUCCUGCACACACACAAUAAACCCAGCUCUACGAUGUGAGCGAAAACAGAAACUGGGUUAAUGUAACAAAUUAAGAUUAUUUCUCCUUGUUGUUGCUCUCUGCUGAACCAAAGAAACAGAAAUGGAUGUGUGGCCUUGACAGCCACCAUCAGAACAAAGCCCCGUUUUAUAAAUACCAGAUGCCCUUGCCAUGAUGCCAGUUGUCUCAUGCAUGUGGCCACUCUCACUUAGUCUCACUUGCACACUGCCCUGCGUAUGGCUCUGUUGGUGACUUUAUACAACCACGGGGCUCUCGUUUCUUUGACUGAUUUACAAACACAGCCUACCCGUUCUGAAUCCAACAGUAAUUGUUGUACUAACUUCAACAGCAAAGAGUUUAAAAUCAACAGUUAAUGGAGUUUGAUUGCUUUGCCCUCACUUUGAUACGAUCAUUUUAAGCAGCUCCCCUGCAGAGCCCGUGGCAAGAACAAGAAGAGCCGUUCUGACAGAGCUGUUAAUGCAAACAGCCUGACUCAGUUCAGCUGAUGUGCAUUCCUCUCAACUGACUUUCUAAACAGUCACUCCCAGUGGCAGGACCUACAUCUUCCUUUUAAGGGGAAAAAAUGUUUUCACAGGAAAAAUUAAGCGUUCAAAGCCUUUGAAUAUCUCUGUGCUUCAGUAACCAAUCUCUCCUUUAAAAAUAUAUCCACGUUGCACACGAAGCAAAAACAUCUCCCUCUUUAACACAAAAUUGUUCCUCUCAAUCACAGCCAUUGGCUUUUUACAGGUACCCUGGUAGACCCAGGUGAAGCAUCCUAUCCUGCUAUUUUUCUAUACAAGUCAACAUGGAAAAACAAAACAAUUUACCAAAGUUUUAGGAAGACUCAUUUUGAGAGACAGAAACAUGGCUGAGAAAGAGCAAGCGAAACUUACAGGCUGCAGGCAAUGCUUUACAGCUCACAUUGGUGACUGACAGUUCCUAUUCCUUCACAUUUCUUUUUCUGCACUUCUGGAAAGAAGCUUAGUGUUAGAAAGGGAUUCGGACUGGAAAGCAUGUUAUAAUAAAAACUUCUUGUUCUACUGAUAUUAGAUAAGGAAAGAGUGAACGGUGGUGCUUUGCCUGCAUGUUAGAUGAAGGAAACAGGAUUUCCCUCUGCUACUCCCUGAACAAGGUCCCAAGGAAAUGUUUCUAAUAAUAGGAAAUUACUAUAUAAGGCCAGAUCAGCACUAAACUGUUUUCAGUCUGCAAAAGAAGAACAUACAAGCACACUCUGAGGAGGGACACGACGGGCAGAGCAGGGCUCUUCUCACACCAGCAGUGUGCAGUAACCUCAGACUGCUCUCUAGAGGUGGGCAAUAUUUGACCUGUAACACUUCUCUCCUGAGCAGAAAGGGGCCUCUCCCACAGCCUGAUAAAGAAAACAAAAUACACAAAUUACAGCUGCUCUUUUUCUUCUUGGGAGCACAAGGACAGACAGAAGGGACUUAUAAAAUAACACCCGCAAAGCAGAGCUGAGCACAUCAAUGAUACACAAAGAGCAGAAAAAGGCACAGCCUGUCCUAACACACGAUAUGCCAGCAGUAAUGCAGAAGAGAAGACGACAGCUUUCCCAGAUCCUUGGAGCACAACAGUUUGCUGCUUCAUGUUGUGAACGGGACAGCUCUCUUACUCAUUCUAUUUUAAACCAUAAGGAUGUUGGGCACCUGUAGAAGGAGCCAUUUAAUUUAAUUUUCAAAGCAUUCCUAUAUAACUGCAUGCAAUAACGUCUUGCAGGCCAACAGUUUCAGCAGCAAACAGAUGCACCUAACUACAACAAGCCACUUACAUCAGCAAAACUGUCAGACUCAGUGCUGCCUAGAGCUUUAAUUGCAGCCCCAAUGCACACUUCUUACUGUCACUUGAACAGACGCCAAACCUGCAAGCCCAGUUAAAAAACAGAUUUUCUUCCUUUUUAUACCUAUGGAAGGGAGUUCCUACAACAAAGCGUUGGCCAAAGGUUGGAUAAAGUGACACAACAGGAACGUUUCCCUGUGCUCUGCACUGAGUGGUAUCUCUCCAUCUCUUUUGUCUUCAGAUAAAGGCAGAAUUUCUCAGCUCCCAGUGCAGAGAAGCUUGCUUAGCAAACACAGUCUGACAGUCCAAUAGCUGCCAUGGAAAUGAAUAUAAUAUAAGUUCCCUAUCAGGUUCAUCACCUAGACUUCUUUACUGACUGGAAUAGACGUUUGUGACAAAACGUACAAAGGAUUUUGUGUCUAUAGCCCUGCUACCUCCUGCCUAGUGAGGUAUUUAUUUUGGCUCUCCAGUUAGAAGGAACACAGGUAUGGAGGUAAGAGUAUGAUGCAGUCAGACCAACAGUCCCUGCCUCCUGAGGGAGCUUGUCAGCAAUAGUUGUAAAGUUCUUCUCCAAAUACAGGAUUACCUGUUUAUAAAAUGCUGACAUCAAAACUGACAUUUAAGCUGUUUUAUUUUCUGAAAUCUAAAGAAUGAUAUUAUUCUGCAGCGCGUCAACACGUAUUGAUUUAGAGAAAUCCAAAACAGCAGAUCUGUUAUCUCAGGCUGCUCCAUAGGAAGCAGGUGUCCUAAUCUUCUUCUUUUUUUCCUAAUUGAUAAUUGUAAUCAAUGCGGUUUUGCAUCAUAACAAACCACACCCAAAACCAGACCACCCGAUGCCAUGAAUAAUGGUUUAAUAAGGAAGCAUCUCCCUCCUAAACAGCCAAAAGAAACUGCUUCUUUUAGUUAACACGAAGCUUUUCUUUUUGUUAAAGUCUGAAUAAAGCUAAUGUUGAGUUGUUAGCCAGGUGUCAAAACAAUUCUGCCAUAUGGAGACUGGAAUGUAAGUCAUAUCUAGAUUAUAUUAGGUAAAUUCAAGCUUCCAAUGUCACCAAAACUAAGGCUCAGUGGCUGAAACCUUCUGAAAAGCACAGGAGAGGGGAUAACAUAUGGAAUAUACUUCCUGAAAUGGUUUGUUUCUGUAAAAUAGCUUGUAGAUGAAGAACGUCUCAACAGUACUAAUCCUACCCCCCACUCCUGCUAAGUCUAAUAUAGGAAGUUUACAGUAAUGUUAAGAUUUAUGUCAGUCUAAUUUGUACUUCAAGUUAUCAAGUUAAGGGAAAUGGUGAGGUAAACACAUCCAUUUUGGUACAAUAGUAUCUAUCAAAGGUUCGUGUCAUGUAAUGUCUACAGCUCCCUUGAGGGAAAUAAAAUCACAAGGUACCAAUUUGCAAGAAUUCUGACAUUCCAUUCUGACACCAGAUGCAAGUGGCACCUGGGAGAGACACCAUAACAACGUUCUUAUUUUCCUUCUGGGUGGGACUCAUUUAGCAAUCCUGAAAGCAAACUAUGAACUACCGAGUGGAGCCAAGUUCCCUGAGCACAGAAAAAGGACACAUUCAAUGCUUUAGACACUCAAACAAGUGGGGUAGUUUUGAAUUUGAUGAUUUUUAAGCCUAGAUUUUACAGGCACAAUUUGUACUUCCACCAUUUCUGGUUAUUUUUCCCCCUCUGUCCCAAACUGACUUUGUUUGGCUGCUUUUUUUAGGACAGUGAAAAGUUUAAGUGAGGUCCAAUAAAACUGUUAUGAACAGAUAUGGCACAGAACUUCCUUCAUACCCUUCUUUGCAAGGGAACCAAAAGCAUUUUGCAUUUUGAUGGCAUAAGGCUCCUGUGAUAAGUUUAAGGAAAGAAUCUUCAGAAGUCUGGAAUAAAACUAGAUAAUGAACCCAAAAACAGGAACACAUCCAUUGAUCUGCAAGGAUUCGAGUUUAUGCUAAAAGAAGCCGCCUAAGCAGUUUCCAAAAGCAGAAAGAAAAGUAGACACACAGUGCAAACUGGCUAUCUGGCAACGUGUCAGGUUUGAGGCCUGGCAGCCAACAGGAGCACGUGGGCUCGCAGCUGGCUCAUGUCUGAGCUGCUUCCCUUUACCCUGUCUCUCUUCUGUUGCUUCUGAAAAGGAGAGUAAAAGCCACCAGAUGAAGGGUAUUGUCUGAAGUAAUCUCCUUCUGACCAGUCUGACAGGACCACGAUGUUUCCACUAAAAUCUUACAGGUUUUUAUGGAUUGCACACGUUUUGAUUCUAAAAUACAUCUAUCUUCAGUUAACAGGAACCAGCAAAUCGUGAGUUACCAUCAUCUUGGCAAAGAUACACCAGGAUGCCUGAAAAACACAGACAUCAUUUCAGAAGGACAUCCCGCAUCCAUCGACAUUGGCUUGUAUUCCUCCAAUGAUCCACAAUAUUGUUUUCCCACAUUUUAAACAUUUAAACUCCUACUGAGUCAAAGCUCUGAUAAGCCGAGCUUUUAAGAAUAGCCAUAAUGAGAAACAAGAAACCAUUGGCGUGCAACUUAGCGAGCCCCCUGUGAAGUAUGAGGAACAUCCCAUCUCUAUGACACAGCUUUAGCUCUGCCCACUCAGGAAGGCCACACUAUUGUGCUCAAAGCAUUUUUGAGAUUUUCUGCUUGAUCAACAGCAUAGAUUUAAUCAAAAUCAAAGACAAAAUAUACAAAGAAUAACUGGGGGCCUGUUCCUUUGUGGUCCUUGGGAAUGCACGCUCCACAUCUGGGUAAACAGAGGCCUAUACAGGAAACAUUCUUUCCCCUCUUCUUCCUUUCUGACUUACCUAUGGUCAUACUUUGGGUGGCUGAAAAACAGCAGAAAUCCUGCUGACACACACAAAACAGGCAGCCAUAAACAUGCAGGGCUCUCUACCCUUUACAGCUACCAUAUCAAAGAAUACGUCCAGGCUGUGACCUUCAACUCAAACGAGAGAUCGUGAGGGAAUUCUCAUAGCUCCUGUUACAUGGGUAUAAACUGCUGAGUGUGACAGAUAUGACAUUCAUAACAAUAUAAACUGUCCCACAGCACUCUGCUCUCUGUCAGAAGAUGAGGAUUAGCACCCCUAAGAAUCAGAGGCACGAAGAGAGUUGUGCCGAUGCAGAUAAUAAGAACAUCUUCACAAAAGGCAGAAAAGUGAAGUUCCCCCUCUACACCUUGAGGCCACCAGUGUGUAAAUGUAAGACUACACCUUGCUAGAAGAGCCAGCGUUUGGAGAUCUCACAAAGCUGGUUACCUUCUGUUCUGAUACUCUUGAUCAAAGUCCAGUGUUUGUGGCAGCUGAGACAAUGACAGGAACCACCAGACAUCUUAUCCCAUCUAAUGGGAAGAGAACAACUUUGUUGCUCUGAUUCUACAGGCAGAUAUGACCUAGGUUCCCCUGCAGAAAGUGAGAAAUACAGACCUUCAGCUCCUUCAUCUAAAUUCUGUAUUUUAACAGUUCUCAGAGGGUGAGCAGCAUCAUCAGCUACUGCAGCAACAACACGAACCCAGGCUUAGCCACUCUGUGAAAGGAGACUGAAAAAAGAUGAGAGCUGAUACAGUGCUCAUGGCACGGCCUAGAUUAGCCCUGCUUCCCUGCUAUCAGUGGGAGCUCUGCCAUCAGAUCCAGUUGUGCUGGAAUAUGCCUGUGGUAGGAGAAAAAGGGUUAAACUCUUUCAAAUCAACUACAGAGAAAGAAAAGCAUCAAAACUUUUCAAGUGUUUUGUUUCCGGAGCUAUUGUUUUUGUGGCUGAACUAGAGGGACACACUAGAGAGUUCAUCACUGUAAAUUAUUGAUCCGCUGCUUUCUAGACAUUGAAACUGGUAAUUAAACAAACAGUAAAGAGAUACUUCAUCAAUUAUAGAGGUGUCCCUUUAAAUUACACUUGCUUCAGGAUGAAUAAAACACAGCAGUUAAACGCUACAGGCGCUUCUUCAUGCCAGGUUAUCAUUUGAAAUCCUCACUACAGCACUAACUUUAAUUCACUUAUGUCAUUGUUUCUGAGCUCUCUGUAGAUAAUGAGCCAGAUAAGAAGGGAAUAAGAGUUUGUUUCCCCAGUCUUUUUCACACAAUAUCCAGAAAGCAAAGUCUCAUGGCCAGAAGAGAGGAUUUAGAACUGUGACCAGGAAAAUCCCUUUUCUGCUCAACACAUUUAGUUAUAGGGGCUGUAGCCUUGACUUUUGGCCAUAUAAAAAACACCCCUCCUUCAAGAAUCAGAAGUUUUGUCUACUAGCAGCAAAUCAUGCAGUGCGUGAAGUACCAGGCAGACAUUUGAUACUGGUAUGUUUUCUAAAUACCAUAAGAAGGACAUAUGCAUGUACACACCCUCCACAAUCUAAAAUAACACUGGCAAGAUGCUUCUGAAAGAAUACAGUGAUGGCACCAGGGAUCCCCUUCUAGCAGAAAUCACAUCACAGCCACCAUGGCUACUCCAAUUUGAUUUAUGACAUUUUAAUUACAGGGUGCACGUUUUACAGCAUCAAGACCAAAGCUAUCUCAGUUUAAUGUAUUAAUGUUAUAUAUACAUGAAAAUAUAUUUGCCUUAAUGCUCAUUUUUAAAUCAAAAUAUCAUCUAAAAAGAGCUUGGCCUUCUUGUAUUUAGUGGUAAAGAAGCUGUCUAGAACCACAACAAUGCAUCUCAAACCAGUUUCACUCCAGGGGAAGCAUUUCCUGAAGUCCAAGUUUCUCAACUGAUUGAGACAGGUCAGGCAACAUAAAUAUUCUAAGCAAAAAAACCAACCCUGCAUAUGCAGCGUAAGCAGACAGCUUAAAAGCCUAACAGGUGGACACAGCUGGCAUCCUUCACAGAGCAGAAACAUCAGUGAAGCAAUAAUGCCACAAGGUAAGAACAAGCAGACAAGUUGCUGAUGGAAUAAGAUGAUCCUAGAAGUCAAAACUUGUGCUGCCCAUGUGAAAUGGGGAGGAAGCGAAGGGAUACCCAGGUGGGAGUUGAGCACAGCAGAGAGACCAUGGAGAUAUGCCACGGAAGCUGAACAUGAUCAGCUGAUGGAAAUAUUAAAAGUGAGAGACAAAGGCGGGUCUGUUUAAGUUUUGUGGCGGAAAGAACAGCACCUUAUGGUAGGUGGACAGAGAAUCAAAAAGCUGAGCUGACUCUCCCUACCGCUCCCCAGCUAAUGAGGCUGAAGCACAGGGAGAGCAAGCUCUCCUGUGGGCCUGAUGCCAAUUACUCUGUUAAGUUUUCUUUGCCUGUUCUAAUGAGAGUUACACAACGUACGACUUGAUUCAUAAGUACCUGAUGGCAUCCUGUGUAUAGAACAGAUCCUACCAGCAGAACAGUAUUUGUGGGAAACGUUAGGAAGAGUGUCUAAGAGAGAUAAAGCCUUUGAGUUGCAGACAAAGCUGCCAGUCCUCAUUUCCAGCUUGUCAGAGCAAGUCCUUCUUGAAGUCAGCAGCCUGGAAUGAAGAGAAUCUGGCAUUUGUGCAUGUAUGUAUGGUUCAGACAGUCAGGGCGGAGGGGCUGACUUUAAUCAUACUUUCCACAGUGGUGUGGGGGGUGGGGGAGUGGCAAAACACAGCGAGCAAUGGGAGUUAUCUGUUCUAUAGUCACAAAUUCCUCCUCUUUGACUUCGUGCUUCAAGACUGACCUCUUUUCCUGCUUCCACUAACCCCUAGAGAAGGAACUGGAAAGGGAAGCACACGCAACUGGAAUUUGAGAGAAAAUCCUGCACGUUCUUGGCAUUCCUGGUAUCUGUGACAGGCAGCACACACUUGUCUGGUCAUUUUACAAAUUCCACAUUCUGGAGAAUUACCGGAACAGCUGAUGGGUCUCAGGAGUAAUCACAUACAGGUACACUCUUUUCCUGUAAAGCUGAACUCCACUAUUCCAAAAUUCACUGAUCCAAGUGCUAACUUGCUGCUGCUGUGUUUAAUACACAUCUUUUAAGUUCUAUCUUCAACUUCCUUUUGCCAAAAUCUCUCUCUUCUGGAAGAAAAAACAACAACAAUGAAGCAUCUAAAGAAUAUGGCCUCGCAACCAGCAGCCGCCAAGAUACUUCAGCUUGUUUUGAAGCAUCUUUAACAAGAAUGCCAAUAUAGUAUCAAAAAGGAAUACAGUUCCAAAAUAGUUUAAUCCAACUGCCCACUACUGUGUUAGCAACAAUACUAUAUAAAGAAUUCCAUUUAAAACCACUUCUCCUCUCACAAUAAGGCUACAGUCCACUGAAUCACAUGGAGCUUCAAUUCCAACUAGAAAUAGCCUCUUGAAGUUUCUAUCGUGGGAUGGCAUUCCCAAAUGUUGUUUACUCGAGUGUCACUACUGGCGGUAACAGCAACAGCAGCUACAAAUCUCAGGAACCAGCACGUACUCCCAGGAAGGGCACACAUCCAGAUCCAACCUCUUGCACAAAAGGUUUUGGCAGCACAAUGCAUUCCUUCUCCUGUACCCUUCUCUGCCUGUGUUGAUUACAACGUCAUGCUCAGAUAGCACAACAGGGUAACUUUGUGCUACUAUCCCACAUGUUUACCUUGCCAAAGAGUCCCAGUAGAGCCCAGAAGACUUCUGGAUGAUUAGACCUGUUGCAGAGGAAUGUAAAAGCGGGUGUUUCCACAUUCCCAUCUGAGCAGCAGGACAUCCCUCCACAUGAAGACCCCACAGCACUGAUUCUAUCAGCUAAUGAGCAGCCUGAUCCCACAAACUGCACUGAACUGGGAGACAGCAAAGAUGUUCUGCCUCCAGAGAGGGCAAAACACAUCUGAUACCAGCACCCAGCCAGACCCCCACUUUGAAUCUCAGCCAGUGCAUGCACUGCUUAGGCAGGAGGCAGAACAGACACCAGCUUCUCUUGGCUCAGUGUCUAAGUGCAAUUACGCUGGCAGCCUGUACCAGGACUUAUCAUCAUGCCUCUAUUCCUGACUUGAUCCCACGUUAACGGGCAACAUAGGCACUCCAUGGGCAGAUGGUUACUGUACUGCUUAGGAGCUAUAAUAAGUUUCAUAGCUUGGGAAUCCCCAGUACAUGCAAGUAGAGAUAGUGCAUUCUGCAUGUAAAUCUUAAUAAAUCCAGCGUUUAAAAGACAGCUGAUUACCACAGCUAGCUCCAUAUUCACAAACUAGAAGGUUUUAGUGCCAAUCAGUCCAUACAAGCUCCUGAAUAUGAUUGCAGAAGCUUCUAGUAAACUCAGACUUUUCCUCACUACCACUGACUUCAGGUAUACAAAACCAGUGCUAUAAAAAGAGAAUGGCUGAACAAGCCACGGGGAUAUAACAAGCACUUACUGUACAUGAAAAGCACCCUCUGAGGUACCACAGCACAGACCCAGGCUGCUGCUGGGAGCUGACAUACACAGCCAACAUUGCUGUGUUGUAGUCCAUCCGCUGCCCCAAGCAGUGCUUGUCCAGGCUGGGACUGACAUCUGUUCAGCUCUGUAGUGAGAGUUCAGGGAACCCAAAUGUUUUUUGUUCUCCAAACUUUGUUUCAGCACGUUCAUUAAAGUCAAGGCAGGGAGUACAGAACUACAGGCAAAACCAAUUUAAUUAAAGAUUCAUGUGAGCUUAUAUAAACUUAGCUUCAAUACUGGAGGAAUACAUCCUCCUGGCACACAAGUAAAGAAAGGGCACUGCACUGAGAGUGAAGUGGAUGAAGCUCUAAGACUCUUUGGGUGCUUGCUUAGUUCCCAACAUAUACAUGCCUCCUAAUGUCUAAAACCUUGGAAAGUGAGCCACAUUACAACAACCACUAGCAGCCUCCAGGACAAGCCCAGGAAUGACACAAGAGGGAACGAGGCUGACAGCUGUAGUGCUCUAUGAUCAGGAAGUCUACACCAUAAAUCACCUAACCUGACACACGUGAGUAUAUAUGUUACCCCAGACUUGCCAGCAGAAAUAUGCCUCUCUAGUAAAUGGGUCUGCUGCCCAGCAGAAGCAAUGACACUCUAUGGCAGGUGCUUGAAAAAGGAGGGAUGAUGGUCACAUCACACACCCAUCUACACCUGUUAGUGACCCAAAGGAACCUUCCCAUUCUCUAUCAAACUGCAAAUCUCAGUCCAGCCCACACUAAACACUGCCUGUAUUUUUACUCCUGCAAGCCUUGUGUCACAUUUGUGUUGAGUAACCAUUAGUUUAGAUAAGUGGUUUGCAAUUAAGAUCAUUUGGUUUGGGGCCAGUGAAAGCACAGCUUAAAGAGCACUUCCAAAAGUUCAGCAGUGCUACAGAGGUUAACCAGAGAAAUUCACUGUCCAAAACCAAAAGCCGGGUACCAGGCUGACAGUUGCUUUUAGACCAUUAGGCCGUAAUUUUCCUUCCCAGCCUAUCCAAAAUUAAAAGCAAGAUUUUUCACAACAAAACUUUUCUUCUGAAAGUAAUAACCUGCUUUUGCAGUGCUCCAAGAUUUAUUCCCAGACACAUGCAUUCAACCCACAGCUGAUUUUCCUCCAUUCUCCAUUUCCACGCAGGUGGCAAUGUGACCCUCGUACAGAGGCUAUUUAUUUCUGAUGGCAAACAAUCAGUAUUUCAGGGAAAAAUGCAUUCUAUGACAAACAAUUGAACUGGAGCUUCUGGAAAAAAAUAAAAAUAAACAGUUACAUGAGUGCAGCUUUUGAGUUCUAUGGACUUCAGCCUGGGCAUAGUUCACAUUCUCAUCCUACACUGAGCUAUGAGGAAUUUUCCCCUUAGUGCAAGCUGAGCUAAAGAAAGUGAUUUGGAUAAUAGCAGUUGCCAGGUAAAUAUAUUCAAGGCUUAAGAUGGAGGGAGCUCCCUUAUGUCCCUGCCCAGACACUGAAACAUCAGAGCAGGAACAGACACUUGGCAGCUCAUCAGGCUUCAGUUUAAAGAGAGAUCAAGCACCGCCUCCCUCUCUCUAAACAUUUUUUGUUGGUUUUUCUUUUCCACAUACAGAUAUUUGCAUCUCUUGCAACGUUUCCUCUUCACAUGGCGCCCCCAUGACCAAGGUGCCAGGGCAGCACAGAAGCCCAUGCUCCCAGCACUCCCUACCUGCAGGUUCCCAGCACCUCACACCCUUUGUUCUGGCAGCACACACUGGCUCUGUCAAGAAAGGUUUCAAAGUGGUCACCAUCUACAGCAAUAUCUGGGAAGAGCAACUCAUCUUGGAUUGUUUUCUUCUUUGUACUUCCUUAUACCUGGACACAACUGUCUCAAAUCAGAUUAGUUUAUACUCAAGAUAAAUAACGUCUGAAAGCUUUAACCAAAACAUACAACUGGCCCAUAGCCAUCAACCCCUGAACUCAAUUCUGUCAUGCAAAAAGAAAACAUACUGUGUCUGCAUUAUCAUGUAGUCACAUGUUUUUCUUAAGUGUUCUAAGGACUAACACACCUGUUUUAGAAAUAGCUCAUAAAAGCACAUAAAUUACCCCUUCUAUUAUUCCAAAUUACCCCUAGCUCCCUCCACUCCCUGCAUAAGCAGUCUAGAGAGCAUUGUUUCUUCUGUAAAUUGAAGAGUCAUCUUCUUGGUGAUCUUAAAGGAUGAUAUUUUAAUGCAGGCAGCAUCUAACCAACAGACAGAGUUAGAAUAUAUGCAUUUGUCGCUAGGUUAUUCCAUAAAGCUGAGCACUAAUCUUCUUCAGCUGAACUGAAUGGUCUGUGGAGUGACUUCAGGAGACAGGAAGGAAAGCAAAGUAAGGUUGGUCUGAUCUGUGUUACAGGCUUCAGCCAGCUGAAAAUAUUCAAAUCUUCCAAGCCUUAUGUAUACAUAAGGUCAGUCAGAAAGGCAGUUUUUGCCCAAGGAAACACUGUAACUCUGACAUUAAAUCUGAAUUCUGCCAGGACUAUCACAGCACUGUGCAGUUCAUUAUGAUACCUGGGGAACAAAAGCAAAACAAGAAAUUCUGACAUAAAAUCAGAGCGAUGAUGCAAACCACCACCAGACUUGUUUAAACAAAUAGAUACGUUCGAGCUUUGCUAAUGACCCCAUAAGCUGCUGUUCAUAGCUGCUAUCCACCAGCAUUUAAACAUCCAAACACUCCUCCCACACUGGCCCUUCCUGCACAAGUCAGUCAUGCUGAGCUGCCCCCACUUCAUUCCCAUGUGAACAAACCAGUGGACAAACUCUGUUACAUUGCCUUGUGUGCACUUGGCACUGCUGGUUUAGUACAAUGAAAACCAAUCAGGUAUACAAAUCCCAGCUAUCUUAAUAUUAAUAGAUGUAAUGGGUGAGUAAGAAAGAGACCUGUAAAAUCUAUGAGAAAACAGAUGUGCUAACAUAAAAUAGCAGGUAAGCAGUCACAAAAAGGCAAGGGAAUGAUUUGCAACUGAAGUCCACUACUUGCUUAAAUCAAGGCAGAAAAAUGCCAACCACCUGCUUUGCUAUCUACAUUCCAGUCCUGACAGCGAGAAUUCCUGGACUCCUGGUGCAAAGGUGCGGCUUUCCCUCCCUAGAAGGAGCAAUUCUGAACUGCCUCCAAAAUCCUAUGAGUGGAGAACAACCUGCUAUUUAAAACAAUGAGAUGCAUGGACACAGAACAAGGCUUUCUGGUCUCUAUUUUGCAAGGUUCAAUACAAUUCACUUAGGAAAAAAAAGCCUACAAUACUUCUGUGUAAUAGUUUUCUCUCUUCUUAGAGCUGCACCAAUGGAUACAUGAGCCUCCACUGCAGAAAUACUGCUUAUAACACAACACCUUAGUGCUGCAAAAUAAUGUAUCAGUUUAUGUUUUUAAGCAACGUUGAUUAUAGUGUGCUGCCUUUGUAAUGUGUGGAACUGCAUAUUUCAGUUAUUAAAGUUAGCAAGCAA